UCAGCGGCCUCAGCGGCGGUGGUGCGCCAUUUUUAUUUUGAGCUCUUCCAAGAGUGAAAGUUCUUUUUCGUUCUAAAUUUAAAUUUUGUUUUAAGUAUUUAAUAUUGUGAUAAACAUAUAUAAACUGCUAAUGUUUUAAAAAUAAUUGUGACAGUGAAAAAAGUGUAUUCAAAAACGGCGGUUUCGGUCACUUCUUGAGGUUUUGUCAUCCGUUAAAUCCAAAAAGCGAUCCGCUGUUUGCUGCCUCCGGCGCCAGGGUAAUAUUUUGCUCGAGCUAUUGGAUGUCGAGGAAGAUCAUCCGUGGAAAAGUGCCACACAAGGCCUAGAAACAGUUCUGUAUGCGUCCCAACAGGAAGUUCAAUGAUGUUGGUCAAACUGUCAGCAAUGACCAAGAGAAAGUCCCGUCGUACUUUGACUCCAAGAGUCGGCCGAUUCUCGGGAAGCUAAAACAUGAAAAGCGGAGUUUCAGUCACCGCCGGUUGCGGAAUAAAACGUUUUCUGCGAUAUUGGAGUAAAACAAGAUUGAAGAUGUCGAGAAAAAGUACACCAAACAUUGGACACAAGGUUGUCCAAUUCGAUUUGCCGAUAAUAAACAACUAUAUAUAUAAUCUACUUCUCCUAUUUUGUGGGAAAAUUGAAUUUAAUCCCCAAGCUCACUAGCGGAACGACGACGGAAGUGGCACAGGAUUUGACAGAAAGUAUUUGAUGUCGUCCAAGAGCACCAAAUUCCGUGCCGCUCGAUUACGUUCAUUCCAUGGUGCGGUGGUGACUCGUCUGAAACAAGGCCGGAAGUUUUGAGUGAGGGAUCGCUCACCAUUUGCUCACCAUCGCUCACCGGAUCGGAAAUUCUCGUUCAGGAUGACACGAUUCCCUUGUCUAAUAAUACCAUUACACUUGAGAGAUGCGGAUGGACCGAUCAGGAAAAGAUUCAUACUUUGAGAUUCCAAUCGACGAACAAUCCUACCGGUGUGUGAAUAAUGAUAACCGACAGUGAAAUCAAUCAUUCAGAAUAUAAUCUGCGCUAAUUUUCACUAUGCCGCUGUACAGAAAACCCAAUCUACAAUGGGCAUAAAAUUAAUUGUUUUUUAUAUAAAUUGUAUGCAACAGAGAAAAAAACAUGGGACUAAUAAAAUAUUAUUCUAAAUGCAAUUUCAACAAC